CCGGAGAAGAUGCCGGUUGGCACUCACCCCUCGACGGCGUUCCUCGAACGCGGGUCCGGCAUCAGGUGAUGAUGAGGUCGACGGCACUGAUGAAUAUGGAGCUGACGGCAGGCUGCAUGCCACUGUGGCGCGUGGGGUCCAUACCGCACCGAUGGUCCUAGCAGCACGACGGAGCAUGUUUACUAAUUUUAGAUGUACAUGCAGCUAGCAACCGGGCUAAACUUGCAUUGACAGCGUAGCUUGCAUGACCUUGCGUACGGAGACUUUGUUUGGUCAACUGAAUUACAAGCCACUACUGUCGUAAACAGAUGCCACACGAGGUGGCCGUUAACAUCAACCUUUCAGCGCCAAGCCGACCGCCAUAAUUUCCCCAAUCCCCUCGUGGAAAGCGAUCUGGCGGAGCCUUGUCCUAGUAAGGCGGGACGGAGUUCUUGGACCCUCUUGGUG
rnacentral:lncRNA from 1 species